CAUUACAGAGUUCCUGCCCUCACGGGUAGAAACCCCACCCUUGUGUAUAUUAUAUUGUUGCUUUAGCAGGUCGCCCUCUGGGGCGUCGGCCUCGGCUGACUGUGCCUGCUAGAGGACCCUAAACUUUGAAAUACAGUGUCGUCUGAGUACUAUUUAAUAGUUAAAACUUUCAACAACGGAUCUCUUGGUUCUGGCAUCGAUGAAGAACGCAGCGAAAUGCGAUAAGUAAUGUGAAUUGCAGAAUUCAGUGAAUCAUCGAAUCUUUGAACGCACAUUGCGCCCCUUGGUAUUCCGGGGGGCAUGCCUGUUCGAGCGUCAUUUAGACCAACUCCCGCUCCGGCGGGGUCUUGGGCUACGCCUUUGGGCGGGCCUUAAAACCAGUGGCGGUGCCCUAAGGCUCUACGCGUAGUAAUUCUUCUCGCGAUAGGGUCCUUGCGGUGUCUUGCCAGCAACCCCCAACUCUCUAGGGUUGACCUCGGAUC
rnacentral:rRNA from 1 species